rnacentral:tRNA from 1 species
UAAAGAAAGACAUAAUGGCUAUGAUGUUGGCUUGAAACCAAUGGGAGAGGGUUCGAUUCCUUCCUUUCUUG